AGUUUUGGAUCUGGCUCAGGACGAACGCUGGCGGCGUGCCUAAUACAUGCAAGUCGAACGAACUCUGGUAUUGAUUGGUGCUUGCAUCAUGAUUUACAUUUGAGUGAGUGGCGAACUGGUGAGUAACACGUGGGAAACCUGCCCAGAAGCGGGGGAUAACACCUGGAAACAGAUGCUAAUACCGCAUAACAACUUGGACCGCAUGGUCCGAGCUUGAAAGAUGGCUUCGGCUAUCACUUUUGGAUGGUCCCGCGGCGUAUUAGCUAGAUGGUGGGGUAACGGCUCACCAUGGCAAUGAUACGUAGCCGACCUGAGAGGGUAAUCGGCCACAUUGGGACUGAGACACGGCCCAAACUCCUACGGGAGGCAGCAGUAGGGAAUCUUCCACAAUGGACGAAAGUCUGAUGGAGCAACGCCGCGUGAGUGAAGAAGGGUUUCGGCUCGUAAAACUCUGUUGUUAAAGAAGAACAUAUCUGAGAGUAACUGUUCAGGUAUUGACGGUAUUUAACCAGAAAGCCACGGCUAACUACGUGCCAGCAGCCGCGGUAAUACGUAGGUGGCAAGCGUUGUCCGGAUUUAUUGGGCGUAAAGCGAGCGCAGGCGGUUUUUUAAGUCUGAUGUGAAAGCCUUCGGCUCAACCGAAGAAGUGCAUCGGAAACUGGGAAACUUGAGUGCAGAAGAGGACAGUGGAACUCCAUGUGUAGCGGUGAAAUGCGUAGAUAUAUGGAAGAACACCAGUGGCGAAGGCGGCUGUCUGGUCUGUAACUGACGCUGAGGCUCGAAAGUAUGGGUAGCAAACAGGAUUAGAUACCCUGGUAGUCCAUACCGUAAACGAUGAAUGCUAAGUGUUGGAGGGUUUCCGCCCUUCAGUGCUGCAGCUAACGCAUUAAGCAUUCCGCCUGGGGAGUACGGCCGCAAGGCUGAAACUCAAAGGAAUUGACGGGGGCCCGCACAAGCGGUGGAGCAUGUGGUUUAAUUCGAAGCUACGCGAAGAACCUUACCAGGUCUUGACAUACUAUGCAAAUCUAAGAGAUUAGACGUUCCCUUCGGGGACAUGGAUACAGGUGGUGCAUGGUUGUCGUCAGCUCGUGUCGUGAGAUGUUGGGUUAAGUCCCGCAACGAGCGCAACCCUUAUUAUCAGUUGCCAGCAUUAAGUUGGGCACUCUGGUGAGACUGCCGGUGACAAACCGGAGGAAGGUGGGGAUGACGUCAAAUCAUCAUGCCCCUUAUGACCUGGGCUACACACGUGCUACAAUGGAUGGUACAACGAGUUGCGAACUCGCGAGAGUAAGCUAAUCUCUUAAAGCCAUUCUCAGUUCGGAUUGUAGGCUGCAACUCGCCUACAUGAAGUCGGAAUCGCUAGUAAUCGCGGAUCAGCAUGCCGCGGUGAAUACGUUCCCGGGCCUUGUACACACCGCCCGUCACACCAUGAGAGUUUGUAACACCCAAAGUCGGUGGGGUAACCUUUUAGGAACCAGCGCCUAAGGUGGACGAUGAUUAGGUGAGCANANNNGGGGGGGGCAA
rnacentral:rRNA from 1 species